UGGCCAUAUCACGUUGAAACAUAGGUUCUCAUACGAUCACCGAAGUUAAGCAACUUGAUCCUGGUCAGUGCCUAGAUCGGACAGCGCUUGGGAAUACCAGGUGCUGUAAU